rnacentral:rRNA from 1 species
GACGAACGCUGGCGGCGUGCUUAACACAUGCAAGUGGAGCGACGAACCGGUCUUCGGACCGGGGCAGAGCCGCGAACGGGUGAGUAACACGUGGGUAACCCACCCCGAUGACCGGGACAACCCGAGGAAACUCGGGCUAAUACCGGAUGAGCUCUCAUCUUUUGAGAGAUGUGAGGAAAGGUAGCUUCGGCCUUCGCAUCGGGACGGGCCCGCGGCCCAUUAGCUUGUUGGUGGGGUAACGGCCUACCAAGGCGACGAUGGGUAGCUGGUCUGAGAGGACGAUCAGCCACACUGGGACUGAGACACGGCCCAGACUCCUACGGGAGGCAGCAGUGGGGAAUCUUGCACAAUGCGCG